AUAAUUUUAAACUUGUGGUUGGACGAUGCAUUUUAUAAACUGAAAUUUAUGUAUUUAUUUUUUCAUUUGAUAGCAGCCAUACAAUAGUAUGUGUACAUAAAUUUGUACAAAGACAUAUAUGCUAUAUUCCGCAACAACAUAGGGCUCCUUGACAAGCGCUACGGAAAGUGAUACCCUUUUGUGCACAACUCUUAAUACACUCUUGAGGAUGAUCUGGACACAAAUCAGGUCGUUUCUCACAGUCUUGUGGCUAAGGAGCGUCAUUUAAUCUUUCUUUUGUUCCAAUCACUUUAUAUGUGCCUACAAACAUAUAAAAAUUAAUACCAGGGUUAUUGUUUAUAUACUUUGAUAGAGACACAAUUAUACGAUCAAUUAUUUUACAUCAAAAUUUAAAUUAAAUUAACGUAGAAAAAUAACUUGUAAAUUUAAGGAUACCUUGAGUCAGAAUGGAAAUGAUGCACACAAUAACAAUGAAAAGAUACAUACGAUUGAUACGGAUUGCCAUGUUUUCAGUUUUCAGUUUUCAAUGAAAAUCAACAAACACCUACGGACUAUUUAUUGAGACAAAUGAGAAUAGUUAUGGAAAUAAAUCUUAAUAGUUUCUUUCAGUCAAAAAGAAAU
rnacentral:lncRNA from 1 species